GCGCCGCAUCACGAUCCCCCGAAUGGGGAACCAACCGAGCGGCACGCCACGGUGGUUAAAAGGAUGUGGGUCGUUUCAGAUCAAAAAAGCGCAACUCU
rnacentral:ncRNA from 2 species